rnacentral:rRNA from 1 species
AACAAACGCUGGCGGCGUGCCUAAUACAUGCAAGUCGAACGGGGAAAGUAGCAAUACGAGUACUAGUGGCGCACGGGUGAGGAAUACAUGGGUAAUCUGCCCUCGAGUUUGGGAUAACCAGUCGAAGGAUUGGCUAAUAACGGAUAUGACCACAGGAUCUGCGGAUCCAGGGGUAAAAGGUUUUGCGCUCGAGGAUGAGCCCAUGUGGGAUUAGCUAGUUGGCGAGGUAACGGCUCACCAAGGCGACGAUCCCUAACUGGUCUUAGAGGAUGAUCAGUCACACUGGAACUGAGACACGGUCCAGACUCCUACGGGAGGCAGCAGUAGGGAAUAUUGCACAAUGGAGGAAACUCUGAUGCAGCGACGCCGCGUGAGUGAUGAAGGCCUUCGGGUCGUAAAGCUCUGUCGUAUGGGACUAACACAAUGAAGGUACCAUGCAAGAAAGGAUCGGCUAACUUCGUGCCAGCCGCCGCCGUAA